CACCGGAUAAGACAGCUGGAUGAUAGCCGGGCUGAAGACUCUGCUUGACUAGCUGAGAGGAGGUGCAUGGCCGUCGUCAGUUCGUACUGUGAAGCAUCCUGUUAAGUCAGGCAACGAGCGAGACCCACGCCAACAGUUGCCAGCAUGUCCUCCGGGAUGAUGGGGACACUGUUGGGACCGCCUCUGCUAAAGAGGAGGAAGGAAUGGGCAACGGUAGGUCAGCAUGCCCCGAAUUAUCCGGGCUACACGCGGGCUACAAUGGUCAGGACAAUGGGUAUCGACACCGAGAGGUGGAGGCAAUCUCCUAAACCUGUCCUUAGUUCGGAUUGUGGGCUGCAACUCGCCCACAUGAAGCUGGAAUCCGUAGUAAUCGCGUUUCAAAAUAGCGCGGUGAAUAUGUCCCUGCUCCUU
rnacentral:rRNA from 1 species